rnacentral:tRNA from 1 species
UGGUAAGUAGUUUAAACAAAAUAAAUGAUUUCGACUCAUUAGAUUAUGA